rnacentral:rRNA from 1 species
UACAGAGGAGCCAAGCGUUGUCCGGAUUGACUGGGCGUAAAGCGCACGCAGGCGGACGCGCGCGUGGGGUGUGAAAUCUGGCCGCUUAACGGCCAGGCGCCAUCCCAUACGGCGCGUCUGGAGCCAUGCAGAGGUCGGUGGAAUUGCCGGUGUAGUGGUGAAAUGCGUAGAGAUCGGCAGGAACACCCAGGGGGAAACCAGUGGACUGGCACGGUGCUGACGCUCAGGUGCGAAGGCGUGGGGAGCGAACGGG